rnacentral:lncRNA from 1 species
ACUAAACCCAUUAAUGGUCACAUAUAUCAAUAUAACCGAACGACAUGGAUCAAGCAUUGAUGUGCAGUAUGAAAAUUACACACUAUGUGAUCUAAUCAUACCUAUUUCCAACUGAUCUUGCCUUCUCCUUAGUGAGAUUAACUGUCAGAAAAUUUAGAGAUAAUAAUAUAUAUAAACAUAAAUGCAAAAAACAAAAACUUAAAUGAAACCAUCGAUACAUAUACCAAACCAAAGUACAU